rnacentral:tRNA from 1 species
GCCCCAGUAGCUUAACGCAAGAGCAUUUGGUAAAUUCCAAAGGUUGUCGGUUCAACUCCGUCCCAGGGCA